GCCUCCGUGGCAUUUUCUGUGAUCAUUAUGGUUUUUUUUUCUCACCAGAUUCACAAAAUAGGUUCGCAAGAACUUCACCUUUGUUGCCGAAGCUUUAGCAGUCCAUCUAGCUCUUUCAAUUCCAAAUUAUUGAAGAAAAUAAAGCUACUUACCUCCAGCACCUGCCGUGUCAAAGAACUAUCAAAAGGCAGGAUAAAGAAAGCACCUGUAUUUUCUUGCCGUGUGACUUGCUGACAGCCGUACUCUUUGAUAGGUUCACGCAUUAGUAGGGUCAAUGGUCAUCUACUUUUACACAUAUUCAUCUACUCAUAUUAAUAUACGAUAAAAUUCAAUCUUACAAUUUCUUUCCUUGAACGCCUACUCUUCAAACCGUUGAUAUCUCAAAUAAUAUUGAGGUCGAAAGUA